GUACAGAUUCUCCCUGAUGGAGCCUAGCCUGACAGUGACCUCACAUCAUGCCAGCCUGCAGCUCAACUUCACUCUGCAAGGAGAAUGACUCCAGGUGGUUCGCACAAUGCGUCGAAGAGGAACUGAAUGUUAUACUGGAUGCCAGCCAUGCCUGUCUUCUGGCUCUUGUUGAAUGAUGCAAGUGAGAGGAUUUUCUGAGGACACUGAGGAAUUUUGACUCUCAUUUCUGGUGGCCUGGGGUACAGAGCCUCAACGACCUUCCUGAACAGAUCCCAGAAGUCAGCCAGCACGCCUGUAUUCUGGCUCCUGUUGAAAGAUGCAAGUGAGAGGAGUUUCUGAGGACACUGAGGAAUUGUGACUCUCAGUCCUCGUGUCUUGGGGUACAGGGCCUCAACAACCCUCCUGAACAGAUCCCAGAAGUCA